UACGAAGGGGGCUAGCGUUGCUCGGAAUCACUGGGCGUAAAGCGCACGUAGGCGGCUUGUUAAGUCAGGGGUGAAAUCCUGGAGCUCAACUCCAGAACUGCCUUUGAUACUGAGAAUCUUGAGUAUGGGAGAGGUGAGUGGAACUGCGAGUGUAGAGGUGAAAUUCGUAGAUAUUCGCAAGAACACCAGUGGCGAAGGCGGCUCACUGGCCCAUAACUGACGCUGAGGCACGAAAGCGUGGGGAGCAAACAGGG
rnacentral:rRNA from 1 species